rnacentral:rRNA from 1 species
GAUGAACGCUAGCGGCAGGCCUAAUACAUGCAAGUCGAACGGUGUCUUCGGACAUAGUGGCGCACGGGUGCGUAACACGUAUGCAACCUACCUUACAUUGGGGGAUAGCCUUUCGAAAGGGAGAUUAAUACCGCAUAAGACAGUAGCUGGGCAUCCAGCAGCUGUUAAAGAUUUAUCGAUGUAAGCUGGGCAUGCGUCCAAUUAGCUAGUUGGUGAGGUAACGGCUCACCAAGGCAAUGAUUGGUAGGGGAACUGAGAGGUCAAUCCCCCACACUGGCACUGAGAUACGGGCCAGACUCCUACGGGAGGCAGCAGUAGGGAAUAUUGGGCAACGGACGCAAGUCUGAUCCAGCCAUGCCGCGUGAAGGAUUAAGGUCCUCUGGAUUGUAAACUUCUUUUAUAAGGGACGAAAAAAGGUCUUUCUAGAUCGUCUGACGGUACCUUAUGAAUAAGCACCGGCUAACUCCGUGCCAGCCGCCGCCGUAACAC